CGCAGCCUCGUCAAAUUCAGUACGUCCUCUACCGUGGACCGCACUGGCCAAAAUGGCUGCCACAGUGAACCUGUAGUUCAUGGGCCCCACAUCAGAACCUUGUAGAUGCUGGGGAUAAAUAUGCACUACUGACAACA